rnacentral:rRNA from 1 species
UUUAAAUGUAAAUAAUAAUUCAUUAAAUUAGUAUUAGUUAUGAUCUUGAAAUUUAAAAAUUUUGGCGGUAUUUUAGUCUAUUCAGAGGAACCUGUUCUAUAAUUGAUAGUCCACGAUAAAUUAUACUUUAGUUAUUAGUUUGUAUAUCGUCGUUAUUAAAUAUUUUAUAAGAAUAUAAAUGUUUAAUUUUUUAUAUAAAAAAAUAUAUCAGAUCAAGGUGCAGUAUAUAUUAAAGAAGAAAUGGGUUACAAUAAAUUUAUUUAUAUGAAUAAAAAUAUAAAAUUUUUUUUGAAAGUGGAUUUGAGGGUAAUAAAAUUAAAAUUAAUUUUAUGAUUUUAGCUCUAAAAUGUGU